GAUGAAGAACGUAGCGAAAUGCGAUAAGUAAUGUGAAUUGCAGAAUUCAGUGAAUCAUCGAAUCUUUGAACGCAUCUUGCGCUCCUUGGUAUUCCUUGGAGCAUGCCUGUUUGAGUAUCAUGAGCAAAUCUCAAAGUCAAUUCCUUUUGUUGAUUCAAUUGGUUUUGCUUUGGACUUGGAGGCCUUGCAGAUUUCACAGUCUGCUCCUCUUAAAUGCAUUAGCUGGAUCUCAGUAAUUAUGCUUGGUUCCACUCGGCGUGAUAAGUAUCACUCGCUGAGGACACUGUUAAAAAGGUGGCCAGGAAAAUACUGAUUGAACCGCUUCUAACGGUCUAUUAAGUUAGACAAUUACCCCUAAGUUUGAUCUCAAAUCAGGUAGGACUACCCGCUGAACUUAAGCAUAUCAAUAAGCGGAGGA
rnacentral:misc_RNA from 1 species